rnacentral:tRNA from 1 species
GCACGUGUAGCUCAGCGGUAGAGCAUCCGACCGAUAAUCGGGGGGUCGCUGGUUCAAAUCCAGCCGUGUGCACCA